AUAUGUUGAUGGUUGCUUUUUAAUCUUCCCUGGGCAAGGAAAGAAGAAACCUGCAGCAAGCUGGGCCAGAGCUCCUGGGUGCACACAGUAGGAGUGGUAAGUAGCCUAAGAAGAGAGACGUCUAAUCUGAAGUUCACAAAAACAGAGUCAAGAAACGAGCUGAACUACGGACUAAGGCCGAUUCCGCGGAUUUUAUCCUACCAGCGCUUCCUGCGAGACUUCUUCCUAUGUCCACCGAGUCGAAGGAUAGACGCUGAUCCCUUCCUGAAAG